UUAUUCCGUUCUACAUAUUCAUUCGUCUUUUCAAUUAAGCACAUUUAUAAAAAUUUUGUUGAUAAGUGUACUUACAACUAUUUUCUCAUACGUGGCGGUGGAACGUCGUCGUGUGCCUACAUAAAAAAUAUCAUAUUAAUGUUUUUGGGCUGGACUUCACCAUUAACUUCACUGUGUCAAAAAGUUGUGCCCCUACAAAAAUUAGAUUGAACGGCUUAAGUGCACCCAGCGACGUGAUGGAGUCCUCAAACUCUUUCAAUGCCAAGUACAACUCCGACCCUUUAUCCGACUUUUCCACCUUCGCCUUCCCCAGAAUCUUGAAGUGAAAGUACGCUUCAUCCGUCCACUGUGAUUCCCGGUCGAAAAAAUAAAUCCUGUAAUAGGAGUCAUUGAGUCCACAAGGAUGGAAUCCUUGACGAAAGCCACACUCAUCGGAACCAGCAUUGCAAUAUCAUUCGACGGAAUUAGUGGGUCCAGUCUCGUAUUUAU